AACGCUAGCUACAGGCUUAACACAUGCAAGUCGAGGGGCAGCAUGAUUGAAGCUUGCUUCAAUUGAUGGCGACCGGCGCACGGGUGAGUAACACGUAUCCAACCUUCCGCACACUCAGGGAUAGCCUUUCGAAAGAAAGAUUAAUACCUGAUGGUAUCUUAAGCACACAUGUAAUUAAGAUUAAAGAUUUAUCGGUGUACGAUGGGGAUGCGUUCCAUUAGGUAGUAGGCGGGGUAACGGCCCACCUAGCCUACGAUGGAUAGGGGUUCUGAGAGGAAGGUCCCCCACAUUGGAACUGAGACACGGUCCAAACUCCUACGGGAGGCAGCAGUGAGGAAUAUUGGUCAAUGGACGAGAGUCUGAACCAGCCAAGUAGCGUGAAGGAUGAAGGUCCUACGGAUUGUAAACUUCUUUUAUAAGGGAAUAAAACCUCCCACGUGUGGGAGCUUGUAUGUACCUUAUGAAUAAGCAUCGGCUAACUCCGUGCCAGCAGCCGCGGUAAUACGGAGGAUGCGAGCGUUAUCCGGAUUUAUUGGGUUUAAAGGGAGCGCAGACGGGUCGUUAAGUCAGCUGUGAAAGUUUGGGGCUCAACCUUAAAAUUGCAGUUGAUACUGGCGUCCUUGAGUGCGGUUGAGGUGUGCGGAAUUCGUGGUGUAGCGGUGAAAUGCUUAGAUAUCACGAAGAACUCCGAUUG
rnacentral:rRNA from 1 species